ACGCUCGACACCUACUGGAGGCAGCAGUCGGGAAUAUUGCGCAAUGGAGGAAACUCUGACGCAGUGACGCCGCGUGCAGGAAGAAGGUUUUCGGAUUGUAAACUGCUUUAGACAGGGAAGAAAGAAAUGACAGUACCUGUAGAAUAAGCUCCGGCUAACUACGUGCCNGCAGCCGCGGUAAUCUGAGGCGGGCGUGGACGAAGGC
rnacentral:rRNA from 1 species